GCCCCAGUGGCGUAAUGGCAACGCGUUUGACUUCUAGUUCGGCAUCAAAAGAUUGUGGGUUCGAUCCCCACCUGGGGUG